CGAUUGCAUGUCUCCUUCCUUCCUACAAAGUGGGUGCACACAGGGUGGCCACUCCGCCAACCGACUCCAGGAGCUCUGCUUUCGCAACGGCAACAUCUACAUCAAGCUCGGCCAGCACAUCGCACAACUGGUGUAUGUGCAGACGAUGAGGGCGCCGAUGCUCAAGAGGUCGUCCGCGGAGUCAUCAAGAAAGAGAAUGGAGAAUUGCCACAAACUGUUUUUGCAUAAUUCUUCCUUGUCCCGCUUGCAAGUGCUUUUCUUGUGCAAGUCCAUGCGUCCACAACACAUGAUGGGAAAAAAAGUUGCUGUCAAGAUUGUUGUUAUUAUAUAAGAAAAGACUGCAGUUCAUUCGUUCACUUAUGUUAAGUUUGAACUCUUCAAUUAUGACAGCAAAGUUCACCAGCAUGUUGUCUGUCUUUCACUUUUUUGACCCCUGUUUUGGCUUACAGGUUCAACACGACCACUUGGUGGAUACUUCCAUAAUAGAUAUCGCCACCGUGGAUUUAGUAGUGAAUGCUCUUCAUUAUAUUUUCCCUAAAUUUGACUACAGUUAUGAUAGAGAGAAGGACUCUGAUCUGCAUGCUUUGACUGAUGGAGUCUUACCAAAAAAUGGCAGGCAAGUAUGUUGACUGGGUUGAUGUGGAGCUAGAGAAACUUGAGAGGACACAGGAGGUGUUAUUGUGAAGUGUGCUAAAUUGUGUUUUUGAGGAAGACAAUCAUCUCAUACUAAAACGGAAAGACUAAGCUCAAUUCCAUGCUUGAAGCCUUGUAUACAGAAUGCUCUAAUUCAUACUGGACUGCUAUUCCUGACAUGUCAAUGGUUUCGGGGUAUUAUUUGAGCUGAUAUGGAGGGACUACUUUAGAUUUCAUCCACCAAAAUAUGGGAACUCCAUUUUCUUACUAGUUCAUACCCACCACGUUCGUGUCUUCACAACUUCGUCCUCCAGCACAAACGCCAGAAUGGAGCAAAAGCUGUGAUUUGCCAGGUCGGUGAACUGAUCCAGCUCGGGACUAUGGGCCGGGUGCUGUGUCCGCGCAGGAGAACUGAUACAGCUCGCUGCCAGGGUGCCAUCCCUCUUCUUCUGUGCCAUAAAGCCCCUCGAUUGAAUCUCUGAAUCAGCAAAUCAAAAUUGCCGACCCAGCCAAUCUCGUCGGAACAUCGUCUAGCUUGCCGUGCUCCACUCACUGACCAAGGCGAUCGACAUUUUCUUGGCUGGUCGAUGGUGAUUGCUCCCAUUUAGGAAGAGGCUGAAUCGUGUUGGAUUUGCAGCGAGAGGAAGCCUGUCAACAUG